GGACUACCCGGGUAUCUAAUCCUGUUCGCUCCCCACGCUUUCGCUCCUCAGCGUCAGGUCAGGCCCAGAGAACCGCCUUCGCCACCGGUGUUCCUCCCGAUAUCUGCGCAUUUCACCGCUACACCGGGAAUUCCAUUCUCCCCUACCUGCCUCUAGUCUGCCCGUAUCCACUGCAAGCCCAGGGUUAAGCCCUGGGUUUUCACAGCGGACGUAACAGACCGCCUACGAGCUCUUUACGCCCAAUAAUUCCGGACAACGCUUGCGCCCUACGUAUUACCGCGGCUGCUGGCAC
rnacentral:rRNA from 1 species